rnacentral:rRNA from 1 species
AUUGAACGCUGGCGGCAGGCCUAACACAUGCAAGUCGAGCGGAUGAAGGGAGCUUGCUCCUGGAUUCAGCGGCGGACGGGUGAGUAAUGCCUAGGAAUCUGCCUGGUAGUGGGGGAUAACGUCCGGAAACGGGCGCUAAUACCGCAUACGUCCUGAGGGAGAAAGUGGGGGAUCUUCGGACCUCACGCUAUCAGAUGAGCCUAGGUCGGAUUAGCUAGUUGGUGGGGUAAAGGCCUACCAAGGCGACGAUCCGCAACUGGUCUGAGAGGAUGAUCAGUCACACUGGAACUGAGACACGGUCCAGACUCCUACGGGAGGCAGCAGUGGGGAAUAUUGGACAAUGGGCGAAAGCCUGAUCCAGCCAUGCUGCGUGUGUGAAGAAGGUCUUCGGAUUGUAAAGCACUUUAAGUUGGGAGGAAGGGCAGUAAGUUAAUACCUUGCUGUUUUGACGUUACCAACAGAAUAAGCACCGGCUAACUUCGUG